UCCACGAAUGCAGUUUGAUGAUGCAACUCGUUUAGAGAGCUAAAAAACGUGCAGUUGUAAAACAAACUGAGGUCAGAAACCACGUCGAGCUUUUUAGGCAUCUCCCUCAAUAUGAACAUAAAACAAAGCUUCCUCAUCUUGAAAUGAACUUUUACGGCCUCAAUUCUGUUCACCCUACUGUGUACAAGGCAUUCCUUGAGGCAUAGGUGGUGGAGGCACAAUGGGAAUGCCAUUUUCGUCCUGGUUAUAGCAUUUAGUCAAAUUGACCCGAUUUGGUCAAUAUCAACUGUUCAAGAUUUUUAGUCUUUCACUAAACAUAUUUUUCUUAUUUUCGUCCUGUUUUAUCCAUUUGGCCGAUAUUGGAUCAAGAAAUUGAUGGUUAUAGCAUUUAAUUAAAUUGACCCGAUUUG
rnacentral:lncRNA from 1 species